rnacentral:rRNA from 1 species
GGCAAGCGUUGUCCGGAAUUAUUGGGCGUAAAGCGCGCGCAGGCGGUUUCUUAAGUCUGAUGUGAAAGCCCCCGGCUCAACCGGGGAGGGUCAUUGGAAACUGGGAAACUUGAGUGCAGAAGAGGAGAGUGGAAUUCCACGUGUAGCGGUGAAAUGCGUAGAGAUGUGGAGGAACACCAGUGGCGAAGGCGACUCUCUGGUCUGUAACUGACGCUGAGGCGCGAAAGCGUGGGGAGCGAACAGGAUUAGAUACCCUGGUAGUCCACGCCGUAAACGAUGAGUGCUAAGUGUUAGAGGGUUUCCGCCCUUUAGUGCUGCAGCUAACGCAUUAAGCACUCCGCCUGGGGAGUACGGUCGCAAGACUGAAACUCAAAGGAAUUGACGGGGGCCCGCACAAGCGGUGGAGCAUGUGGUUUAAUUCGAAGCAACGCGAAGAACCUUACCAGGUCUUGACAUCCUUUGCCACUUCUAGAGAUAGAAGGUUCCCCUUCGGGGGACAAAGU